CAACCUGCCCUUCAGAGGGGGACGAACAGUUGGAAACGACUGCUAAUACCGCAUACGAUCUAAUCUCGGCAUCGAGGAAAGAUGAAAGGUGGCCUCUAUUUAUAAGCUAUCACUGAAGGAGGGGAUUGCGUCUGAUUAGCUAGUUGGAGGGGUAACGGCCCACCAAGGCGAUGAUCAGUAGCCGGUCUGAGAGGAUGAACGGCCACAUUGGGACUGAGACACGGCCCAGACUCCUACGGGAGGCAGCAUG
rnacentral:rRNA from 1 species